CAGGGAUUGCCCCAGUAACGGCGAGUGAAGCGGCAAGAGCUCAAAUUUGAAAUCUGGCCUCCCCCGGGGGCCCGAGUUGUAAUUUGCAGAGGAUGUUUCGGGUGCGGCCGCCGUCUAAGUUCCUUGGAACAGGACGUCAGAGAGGGUGAGAAUCCCGUCUUGGGCGGGCGGUCCGCGCCCGUGUGAAGCUCCUUCGACGAGUCGAGUUGUUUGGGAAUGCAGCUCUAAGCGGGUGGUAAAUUUCAUCUAAAGCUAAAUAUUGGCCGGAGACCGAUAGCGCACAAGUAGAGUGAUCGAAAGGUUAAAAGCACCUUGAAAAGGGAGUUAAACAGCACGUGAAAUUGUUGAAAGGGAAGCGCUUGCGGCCAGACUCGGGGGCGGGGUUCAGCGGGUGCUCGUCGCCCGUGUAUUCCUCGUUUCCCGGGCCAGCAUCAGUUUCGACGGCCGGUCAAAGGCCCCCGGAAUGUGUCGUCUCUCGGGACGUCUUAUAGCCGGGGGUGCAAUGCGGCCCGUCGGGACUGAGGAACGCGCUCCGGCUCGGAUGCUGGCGUAAUGGCCGUAAGCGGCCCGUCUUGAAACACGGACCAAGGAGUCUAACAUCCACGCGAGUGUUCGGGUGUCAAACCCGUGCGCGCAGUGAAAGCGAACGGAGGUGGGAGCCCUAGGGCGCACCAUCGACCGAUCCUGAAGUCUUCGGAUGGAUUUGAGUAGGAGCGUGGCCGUUGGGACCCGAAAGAUGGUGAACUAUGCCUGAAUAGGGUGAAGCCAGAGGAAACUCUGGUGGAGGCUCGCAGCGGUUCUGACGUGCAAAUCGAUCGUCGAAUUUGGGCAUAGGGGCGAAAGACUAAUCGACC
rnacentral:rRNA from 1 species